UCAACUUCCUGGCGAUUCUCCACCACUUUAUGUAUCCAAAUCAAGCUUCUUACAAAAUGAUUCAUCCUGGUUUUAUUGGAACGACGAAGAAGCUGUGCUAUUCCCAAACUGGAAAACUGGAAUCACCUGAUUUGAAAGUGGGAUAACUUCUUCAUCCCAACUCCUAUGAGAUUUAUUCAACUUCCUGGUGAUUCUCCACCACUUUAUGUAUCCAGAUCAAGCUUCUCACAAAGUGAUUCAUCCUGGUUUGAUUGGAACGACGAAGAAGCUGUGCUAUUCCCAAACUGGGAAACUGGAAUCACCUGAUUUGAAAGUGGGAUAACUUCUUCAUCCCAACUCGUAUGAGAUUUAUUCAACUUCCUGGUGAUUCUCCACCACUUUAUGUAUCCAAAUCAAGCUUCUUACAAAAUGAUUCAUCCUGGUUUGAUUGGAACGACGAAGAAGCUGUGCUAUUCCCGAACUGUGAAACUGGAAUCACCUAAUUUGAAAGUGGGAUUACUUCUUCUUGCCAACUCCUAUGAGAUUUAUUCAACUUCCUGGUGAUUCUCCACCAGUUAAUAUAUCCAAAUCAAGCUUCUUACAAAAUGAUUCAUCCUGGUUUGAUUGGAACGACGAAGAAGCUGUGCUAUUCCCAAACUGGGAAACUGGAAUCACCUGAUUUGAAAGUGGGAUAACUUCUUCAUCCCAACUCCUAUGAGAUUUAUUCAACUUCCUGGUGAUUCUUCACCACUUUAUGUAUCCAAAUCAAGCUUCUCACAAAGAGAUUCAUCCUGGUUUGAUUGGAACGACGAAGAAGCUUUGCUAUUCCCAAACUGGGAAACUGGAAUCACCUGAUUUGAAAGUGGGAUAACUUCUUCAUCCCAACUCCUAUGAGAUUUAUUCAACCUCCUGGUGAUUCUCCACCACUUUAUAUAUCCAGAUCAAGCUUCUUACAAAGUGAUUCAUCCUGGUUUGAUUGGAACGACGAAGAAGCUGUGCUAUUCCCAAACUGGGAAACUGGAAUCACCUUAUUUGAAAGUGGGAUAACUUCUUCAUCCCAACUCCUAUGAGAUUUAUUCAACUUCCUGGUGAUUUUACACCACUUUAUGUAUCCAAAUCAAGCUUCUCACAAAGUGAUUCAUCCUG
rnacentral:lncRNA from 1 species